CGCAUGGAGGUGGGCGGGACGGGUGAGUAACGCGUGGGCAACCUGCCCUGUACAGGGGGACAACACUUAGAAAUAGGUGCUAAUACCGCAUAACGGGGGAGCCGCAUGGCACCCCCCUGAAAACUCCGGUGGUACAGGAUGGGCCCGCGUCUGAUUAGCUGGUUGGCAGGGUAACGGCCUACCAAGGCGACGAUCAGUAGCCGGCCUGAGAGGGCGGACGGCCACACUGGGACUGAGACACGGCCCAGACUCCUACGGGAGGCAGCAG
rnacentral:rRNA from 1 species